rnacentral:rRNA from 1 species
AGCAGUAGCCGCGGUAAUACAGAGGUCCCGAGCGUUGUUCGGAUUCACUGGGCGUAAAGGGUGUGUAGGAGGUUGGAUAAGUCAGGUGUGAAAUCCCGCAGCUCAACUGCGGAACUGCAUUCGAUACUGUUCAACUAGAGGAUCGGAGGGGGAAGCGGAAUUCUUGGUGUAGCGGUGAAAUGCGUAGAUAUCAAGAGGAACACCGGUGGCGAAGGCGGCUUCCUGGAAGAUACCUGACUCUGAAACACGAAAGCCAGGGGAGCGAAUGGGAUUAGAUACCCCCGUAGUCCCUGUCUCUUAUAA